rnacentral:tRNA from 1 species
CAGAAGAUAGUUUAGUACAGAAUUCUAGCUUUGGGUGCUAGGGGCGGGAGUUUGAAUCUCUCUUUUCUGG